UGACUCGAUCCUCCGCGGCGAUGUGCGCCAAAGUCGGACGCUUGAUUUCACAGAACGUCUUUGGGUAGAACCUGAGUAGUGAUUCGCUGAAAGGCCCUGGUAGCAUUCCCUUGGUGAAGGUGUGCACCCUCAUUGCCUCAUCUGUAGGUUUGAGCCUCACCACCUGGACUCCAAGCCUGUUCAAGAACUCUUUCAAGGACUCCUCCUAGUACUGCUUUAUGUCAAAGACAUCAUAAGAGAUUAGAGGGGGAGCCCUAUUGAUAAGGUACUGUUCUCUGAAUAGCGUUGCGAA
rnacentral:lncRNA from 1 species